GACGAACCGUGCAAACGUUGUUCGGAAUCACUGGGCGUAAAGGGCGCGUAGGCGGCCUGAUAAGUAGGGGGUGAAAUCCUGUGGCUUAACUGCAGGGCUGCCUCCUAGACUGUUAGGCUCGAGCACGGUAGAGGCAGAUGGAAUUCCCGGUGUAGCGGUGGAAUGCGUAGAGAUCGGGAAGAACAUCGGUGGCGAAGGCGGUCUGCUGGGCCGUUGCU
rnacentral:rRNA from 1 species